rnacentral:misc_RNA from 1 species
GAAAUGCGAUAAGUAAUGUGAAUUGCAGAAUUCAGUGAAUCAUCGAAUCUUUGAACGCACCUUGCGCUCCUUGGUAUUCCUUGGAGCAUGCCUGUUUGAGUAUCAUGAAAUCUUCAAAGUAAAUCUUUUGUUAACUCAAUUGGUUUCUACUUUGGAUUGGAGGUCUUUGCAGCUUCACACCUGCUCCUCUUUGUUCAUUAGCUGGAUCUCAGUGUUAUGCUUGGUUCCACUCGGCGUGAUAAGUUAUCUAUCGCUGAGGACACUGUAAAAGGUGGCCAAGGUAAAUGCAGAUGAACCGCUUCUAAUAGUCCAUUGACUUGGACAAUACUUUUAUGAUCUGAUCUCAAAUCAGGUAGGACUACCCGCUGAACUUAAGC